CUUGAUCUCAAAUUGAAAGAGAUUUUCUAAAAUUUGCUAGAACAGCUACAAAAUUUGCUAUAGUCUGCUAAACUAAAAACACUUCUCCAGAUAGAUAAAAGUUAAACUUAAAGUAACAUAUUUUAAAGUGCACUUUAAUUAAAUUUCAAAACAUUCAAUAGUUGUAUUAAUUUUUUUCUAUCCAAAUUGCAAGAUUGUUUCAUCAAUAUUGUUACAGAACAAUGGGAAAUUGAUUUAUUUAAUAACAAUGGGGAAAUUGAUUUAUUUUACAACUUUGUCAUCAUUGACUAAUAUUAAAUUUGUGUUCUUUUACCCCAUGUAAAGGUUUUAAUAGCAUCUUAGCAUAUGUUUAUAAAACAUAAGUAAUUGAAAGAGACUUACCUGUAUGUGUUAGUCCUUCCACAAUAUUCAAACACACUUCUAGAGGAAGUCAUGUGAUAAGCACCUUGCGAUUUAUUACUCCUAAAUUGUACCUUGGAGGAAUUUCGGGUAGCCACGGAGAUAUCCUACCAUUGACAGUUAUCGUUAGAGGUACGAGUGUUUUUUUGGAAGAUGUUUGAUCACAGUUGGUCGAGAACGACACCAGAUGAACAUUCUCGCUUUUCGUGGAUGAUAAAGCGUCCAUUCUUCCGAUAGCAGCAUCGACGCGUUGGGAUAGGAACCAGAGGUUGAGAAGACAAUUCAAAAAAUCUGUAACAAAGCAACAUAAUCAUAAAUAAAAUGAGAAAAAUCUAUCUUUAAUGCUU